AUUGAACGCUGGCGGCAUGCCUUACACAUGCAAGUCGAACGGUAACGGGCCUUCGGGUGCCGACGAGUGGCGAACGGGUGAGUAAUACAUCGGAACGUGCCCGAUCGUGGGGGAUAACGAGGCGAAAGCUUUGCUAAUACCGCAUACGAUCUACGGAUGAAAGCAGGGGACCGCAAGGCCUUGCGCGGACGGAGCGGCCGAUGGCAGAUUAGGUAGUUGGUGGGAUAAAAGCUUACCAAGCCGACGAUCUGUAGCUGGGCUGAGAGGAUGAUCAGCCACACUGGGACCGAGACACGGCCCAGACUCCUACGGGAGGCAGCAGUGGGGAAUUUUGGACAAUGGGCGCAAGCCUGAUCCAGCCAUGCCGCGUGCAGGAUGAAGGCCUUCGGGUUGUAAACUGCUUUUGUACGGAACGAAAAGCCUUCUUUUAAUACAGGAGGGUCAUGACGGUACCGUAAGAAUAAGCACCGGCUAACUACGUG
rnacentral:rRNA from 1 species